GACGAACGCUGGCGGCGUGCUUAACACAUGCAAGUCGAACGGAAAGGCCCCAGCUUGCUGGAGUACUCGAGUGGCGAACGGGUGAGUAACACGUGGGUAAUCUGCCCUGCACUCUGGGAUAAGCCUGGGAAACUGGGUCUAAUACCGGAUAUGACCUUUCUCCUUAUGGGGUUUGGUGGAAAGUUUUUCGGUGUAGGAUGGGCCCGCGGCCUAUCAGCUUGUUGGUGGGGGGAUGGGCUAACAAGGCGACGACGGGUAGCCGGCCUGAGAGGGUGAUCGGCCACAUUGGGACUGAGAUACGGCCCAGACUCCUACGGGAGGCAGCAGUGGGGAAUAUUGCACAAUGGGCGGAAGCCUGAUGCAGCGACGCCGCGUGCGGGAUGACGGCCUUCGGGUUGUAAACCUCUUUCGGCAGGGACGAAGCGUAAGUGACGGUACCUGCAGAAGAAGCACCGGCUAACUAUGUG
rnacentral:rRNA from 1 species